rnacentral:rRNA from 1 species
UGAGGAAUAUUGGGCAAUGCCCGCAAGGGUGACCCAGCAACGCCGCGUGGAGGAUGAAUGUCGUAAGAUUGUAAACUCCUGUUAGAGGGGAAGAAUAGUACCGGUUGGACCGGUAUAUGACUGUACCCUCAGAGAAAGCCCCGGCUAACUACGUGCCAGCAGCCGCGGUAAUACGUAGGGGGCAAGCGUUGUCCGGAUUUACUGGGUGUAAAGGGCGCGCAGGUGGGAUAAAAAGUCAGUGGUGAAAUCCUACAGCUUAACUGUAGAACUGCCUUCGAUACUUUUAUUCUUGAGUUCGGGAGAGAGAGACGGAAUUCCAGGUGUAGUGGUGAAAUACGUAGAUAUCUGGAAGAACACCAGUUGCGAAGGCGGUCUCUUGGUCCGACACUGACGCUGAGGCGCGAAAGCGUGGGGAGCAAACA